UACGAACCGUACAAACGUUAUUCGGAAUCACUGGGCUUAAAGGGUGCGUAGGCGGCCAUGUAAGUGAGAUGUGAAAUCCCUCGGCUCAACCGAGGAAGUGCAUUUCAUACUGCAUGGCUUGAGGGAGACAGGGGUAAGCGGAACUGAUGGUGGAGCGGUGAAAUGCGUUGAUAUCAUCAGGAACACCGGUGGCGAAAGCGGCUUACUGGGUCUCUUCUGACGCUGAGGUACGAAAGCUAGGGGAGCGAACGGG
rnacentral:ncRNA from 2 species